rnacentral:rRNA from 1 species
UCAUUAAUGUGAUAGUAUACUGUGUGAAAUUUGCCCAAUGCCAUUAAUAUAAGAAAAAUCAUGGCUCCUUCCUGAAGGAAGGAAAAAAACUGUGAUUUAUCGAAAUUCUGGUUAAUAGCGGUCUUAACUAUGAGGAUCCUAAGGUAGCAAAAUCAAUUGGCCAUUAAAUGUGGUCCGGUAUCAAUAAUGUAACGAUGGUCUCGCUGUCUCUACAACUUGCUCAGUGAAAUUGAAUUACGCGUGCAGAUGCGCGUUACCACCAGGGGGACGGGAAGACCCUAUGCAGCUUCUACU